UUGAGCUAAACCAUUGCAUUGUGAACCACAUUGCAGAGCACACGUGAGUUAGUACGGCUCUAGCGAUCAACAGAAAUGACAGUAGCCUAAGCCGCAACAGGCAUCUAUUUUAACUUGGUGCUAAGUGCAGGCGGUAGUUCGUUGCACGGGCAGAAAUGUGCAUUUGGGACCUGUAGCAUCAACUCCAACGGAUCGCCUUUCUGAAACUUAUGACUUCAUUUUUCGCAUAAUUUUUUGCGUCUUUUUCCAAGGACUUGCAAGUGCAUGCAUGGGCUUUAUCGUUUGGUUUAGGGGCUACCAAAAAGGCUAUACCCUAACAGUUAGAUCAUCGGAACAGCCAGCCUACAUGGUCUGGUAAUUUGUUUAUUAAAGGUAUCCUGGCACACAGUCUGACAUUAUUGACUGGGCAGACAUUUCGUGUGAUGGGACUCUCCAAACUCUGAAGGAGUGCAUCUGAAUUGGGAAGAGAGGAUAGAGGACAAAGAACACUGGGAAACCAGAGGAAGAGAGGAGGAGGAGAAAAAUGGAGGCCAUAUCUUUAGAUCAGUCUGCGACGGUGGAUGAGCUGGUGGAAGCAUGCAUCCAAGCCUUUGAUGAGACGGGCACUUUGAAGGACCCCUCCCUAGUGCGUAUGUUUCUUAUGAUGCACCCUUGGUACCUUCCCUCCACCGACAUGGCAAAGAAACUACUGCUCAAAUCACAGGAGGACAGCUGCACUGCUGAGCUCAGGACAAGAAUCUGCCACUUGGUGAAGUACUGGAUCAGUGAGUUCCCAGCGGAGUUCAAUCUAAACCCAGAGCUGGCAGAGCAAAUCAAAGACCUCAAGGACCUCUUGACCACUGAGGGGAACGAGCGCCAGAGUCAGCUCAUCGACAUCGACAGCGUGCCGUCAUACAAGUGGAAGCGUCAGGUGACCCAGAGGCAGCCAUCCAUGUCUAAGAAGAGGAAGAUGUCUCUGCUGUUUGACCACCUGGACUCCAGCGAGCUUGCCACACACCUCACCUACCUGGAGUACAAGUCCUUCUGCAAGAUACUGUUCCAGGACUACCACAGCUUUGUGAUGCAUGGCUGCACGGUAGACAACCCCAUCCUGGAGCGCUUCAUCACCCUCUUCAACAGUGUGUCUCAGUGGAUCCAGCUGAUGGUGCUCAGCAAGCCCACCGCCCCCCAGAGGGCUGCAGUCAUCUCCCACUUCAUCAGGGUGGCUCAGAAACUGCUCCAGCUUCAGAACUUCAACACUCUGAUGGCCGUGGUGGGGGGGCUCAGUAACAGCUCUAUAUCUCGCCUCAAAGACACCCAAUCACACAUCAGCAACGAGACCAACAAGGUGUUCAACAGCCUGAUCGAACUGGUGACGUCGUGCGGCAACUACAGCCAGUACCGACGUCGCUUCUCCGACUGCACAGGCUUCCGUUUUCCUAUCCUGGGCGUGCACCUCAAGGAUCUGAUCGCCGUGCACGUGGCGCUGUCCGACUGGGCCGACCCUGACAAGAGCAGGGUCAACCUGGCCAAGAGCCAACAGCUGUAUGUUAUCCUCCAGGAGUUGGCUCUGAUCCAGACCACGCCACCCAGCAUCGAUGCCAACACAGACCUACUUAACCUACUUACGGUGUCUCUGGACCAGUACCACACAGAAGAGGAGAUCUACCAGUUGUCUCUACAGAAAGAGCCACGCAGUGCUAAACCGGCGAACUCCGGCUCCUCCCCCGCGCCUGCCCCCCAGCCAUCGAUGAUUGACGAGUGGGCUGCGUCGGUGAAGCCCAAAGCCGACCCUGCGGUCAUCAACAAACACAUAGAGAAGAUGGUGGAUUCUGUCUUCAAGAACUUUGACACUGACGGGGACGGUCACAUCUCCAGGGAGGAGUUUGAGAUCAUCAGGAACAACUUCCCCUACCUCAGCAAGUUUGGAGAACUGGACAAAAACCAAGAUGGGCAGAUCAGCCGGGAAGAGAUGAUCGACUACUUCAUGAAGGCCAGCUCUCUGCUCAACUGUAAGAUGGGCUUCAUCCACACCUUCACAGAGACCACCUACGUCAAACCCACCUUCUGUGAACACUGUGCUGGCUUUAUAUGGGGCUUCUACAAACAGGGAUACAAGUGUAAAGCGUGUGGAAUUAAUUGUCACAAGGCGUGUCGAGGUCGUCUGGCUGUGGAGUGUCGUAAACGGACCAAGAGCAUCAGCCAUGAGCAUGCCCCCUCCCUUCAGGCUCGCUCCUACAGCUUCCCGCCCCUGGCCAACACCCCACCAAGCCUACAGAACACAGUGAUUGUAGAGGAAGAUCUCCAGGCAGUGGAGGAAGGUGUGUUUGAUGUCCAUCUAUAACCAGAUGAUAACCAAUAGGCAGGCCUGGCCUGAUAUGUCCCUUCAGAAGUCCUACGUACUCUGGCAUUCAUACAGCCAAACACUGCCAGGAGGAAACAACAGUGGUCGGGAGCCAGAAGCCUGCUGGGGUCUGCUCAGCAGGGUACAACGUUACAUAAAGCAGAUAUAAAUGUAUCAUCAAGUACAGAUUAUGAUUGUUUGUCGUCUAAAAGAGGGAAUCGUUUCAGCUCUAUCCAUUCCAUUUCUAUCUGCAACAUUCAGACUGCCAUUAGGUAGAACAGAUAUGAUUGUCUGUCGUCUAAAAGAGGGAAUCGUUUCAGCUCUAUCCAUUCCAUUUCUAUCUGCAACAUUCAGACUGCCAUUAGGUAGAACAGAUAUGAUUGUCUGUCGUCUAAAAGAGGGAAUCGUUUCAGCUCUAUCCAUUCCAUUUCUAUCUGCAACAUUCAGACUGCCAUUAGGUAGAACAGAUAUGAUUGUCUGUCGUCUAAAAGAGGGAAUCGUUUCAGCUCUAUCCAUUCCAUUUCUAUCUGCAACAUUCAGACUGCCAUUAGGUAGAACAGAUAUGAUUGUCGGUUGUGUAGAAGAGAGAACAUUGUCCACUUUAUUCAAGGCAUGUCACUCACACACAGAGCGAGAGAGAGAUGCCGCCACAUAGUGGAAAAAUACUGCAAAUGCAAACCUUACAUUUACUCAAGAUUUCAACUCCCUCAAUAUAAGUGAAUUUGUACAAAAUGUCUUUCUGUGUUAAAUCUAUAUUUUAAAAUGUGGAUGUAAGCCCAUGUUUUCAUAUCUCUUACCUAGUUUACCUAACACUGAAUAUAGAAAAUAAAAUCACAUUGUGUUUAGUGUGAUGUUAUUA